rnacentral:rRNA from 1 species
CGGGGAGCAGCAGGCGCGAAACCUUUACACUGCACGAGAGUGCGAUAAGGGGACCCCGAGUGCGAGGGUAUACAGUCCUCGCUUUUGUACGCCGUAGGGAGGUGUACGAAUAAGAGCUGGGCAAGACCGGUGCCAGCCGCCGCGGUAAUACCGGCAGCUCGAGUGAUGGCCGCUGUUAUUGGGCCUAAAGCGUCCGUAGCCGGCCGAACAAGUCCGUCGGGAAAUCCAUCGGCUUAACCGAUGGGCGUCCGGCGGAAACUGUUCGGCUUGGGGCCGGAGGACCCGAGGGGUACGUCCGGGGUAGGAGUGAAAUCCCGUAAUCCUGGACGGACCGCCGGUGGCGAAAGCGCCUCGGGAGGACGGACCCGACGGUGAGGGACGAAAGCUAGGGUCACGAACCGGAUUAGAUACCCGGGUAGUCCUAGCCGUAAACGAUGCCCGCUAGGUGUGGCAC